GGUUCUAUGGCGCAAUUGGUUAGCGCGUCCGGCUGUUAAGCUCAGGUUCUCUCUCGUGAAUGAAUUUGGGUUUCGCAUACCGGGAGGUUGAAAGUUCGAGUCUUUCUAGUACCG